rnacentral:misc_RNA from 1 species
GAUGAAGAACGCAGCGAAAUGCGAUAAGUAAUGUGAAUUGCAGAACUCAGUGAAUCAUCGAAUCUUUGAACGCACAUUGCGCCCGCCAGUAUUCUGGCGGGCAUGCCUGUUCGAGCGUCAUUUCAACCCUCAAGCCCCCGGGCUUGGUGUUGGGGAUCGGCGUGCCCUCGCGGCGCGCCGUCCCCUAAAUCUAGUGGCGGUCUCGCUGUAGCUUCCUCUGCGUAGUAGCAACACUCGCACUGGAUUGCAGCGCGGCCACGCCGUUAAACCCCCCACUUCUGAAAGUUUGACCUCGGAUCAGGUAGGAAUACCCGCUGAACUUAAGCAUAUCAAUAAGCGGAGGA